UGGGAACCUUCCUAGGGGUACGGAACAACUCAGGGAAAACUUGAGCUAAUACCGUAUACGUCCGUAAGGAGAAAGAUUCAUCGCCCCUAGACGGGCCCGCGUAGGAUUAGGUAGUUGGUGAGGUAACGGCUCACCAAGCCUACGAUCCUUAGCUGAUCUGAGAGGAUGAUCAGCCACACUGGGACUGAGACACGGCCCAGACUCCUACGGGAGGCAG
rnacentral:rRNA from 1 species